ensembl:lncRNA
CUCCAGCCCCUACCUCAACCUCAGCGCAAAUGUCUCUCCUCCAUGACCUCCCCUUCUUCAGCCCUGGGCACCUUCUCCUACCAGCACUGCCCCACUGUGCCGGCUGAGAGCGGAGUUGCAGGUGUGUCUCUACUCCGCCCCGGCCGCUCGGGAGGGGAGCGGUGGGCGCGGGGGAGCGGCUGGAGCAGGGUCAGCCCUUGAGAGCCCCGGCGCGGUGCGCGCCGACCCAGCGAGUUCCGUGGCUCUGCUGAGGGAACAAACUUGUGGCGGAUCAGACAGCGGAGAGCAGUCACCGCAGGGCGGCCAGCCGGACCGGGGACGGCGCGAACCGGACAGCCAGUGGCCCAAGGCAGGGGCCAGCCUGUCCCUCCCUCCCCGCCCUCGCUCUCCCUCUCCCGCCCUCAGCCCGGCCUCUCAACUCCCUACUUCGCGUGUCCACAAACUCUGAACGCCCAGUGUCCGCGCAUCGCCGCCGCCGGAGUUCUCCACCCUGCGUCCCGGGGGCCCUUCCCAGCUUCUCCUCCUCCCACCUUGGGGGAACCUAGCGGAGCCAGGCGGGGACGGCUCCCCGGCGGGUGGAGCAGCCAGGUGAGCCCAGAAAGGUGGGGCGGGGCGGGAGCGCUCCGGGCCCCACCCCGGGAUCCGGUGACGCCGGGGCUGGAAUUUGACACCGGACGGCGGCGGGCAUGAGACUGCUGAGGGAUGGAGUUGGGCCCGGCCCCCAGACACGGCCCACGGGCUCCACCAGCAGCAGGUCCCUCGGGCCCCAGCCCUCCCUGCGUCCCAGACCCAGGGCCCUGCACCCGCGGUAAGCUGACCUGUUUGCCCACCCCUCGUCCCAGCCCUGGGUUUAGGGGGAGCAGUCAGAAUAGUUCCCCUCCACUCUUUUCUUACAUCCUCCCUCUCCUGGGCCCAAUGCGCAGCUCUCCGCCCCUCCCAGCCCCCUCAGUCCUUCUUGUCGCUGGUCCGACUGCGGACGCCCUGCCAGCCCGCUGUAAUGUGAGGCUCUCACUGCUGCUACAGGGCACAGACUGGCUGCCAAGGCCACACUUUUGGCUAAAAGGCGCUGCCAGGUGCAUAGUCCUGGGCAUGAGCCUUUUGAGCUGCGGGGGAAAGCCGGGCACUGGUCCCAGGAAAGGUGCCUAGAAGAACACGGCGCAGGAUUCCUGUGGUGAGUAUGGGGCUGGCAGAUGGGGAGGCAAGGGCUGGAGGACCAAAAGGCCUCAGAUGGCUGGGAGGGUAAGAGAGGGCCCGAGGUGCCUUCAAGAGACCCGCUCCUGGGCUCCCCCUAGUGCAGGGGGCCCUUAAAGCUGCCUUGCCCUGCUUUCCCUCCAUCAGUGAGAGCCUGGCCCCUCAGGGCCCGUUUUCAAUUAGCUGAUCACACUUGGCCCUGAAGGACCCCACCAGGGAGGCCUGGGAGAUCCAGACCACAGGUAUGAGGCAUUCUGUGUGCUUGGGGGUGGGGGUGAAGGUGACGGCUGGGACCCAAGAGUUGGCCAGUUACUGAGGGCUCAUGAGGGCUCUGGGGCCCCGGAGUAUUUGGGAGUGCCGGCCAAUGUGGACUCAUGAAGGCUGGUGGGACUCAGAAAGGCUGGCUGAGCUCAGGAAGCAUGGCUCGUGGGACGAACUUCUAGGAGCAGGGCCAGGCUGCCAGAUCCACAGGAAGCUGGAAUGGGACAGACUUGGCCCAGCUCUCAGAGACCAGGCUGGUAUGGAGGCCUGGCUGGCCCUCCUGGGAGUUGCUCGGCCUGAGUCUGGCUGAGUGUCUGGAAAAGCCCACCCUCCUUUGAGUCUGCAGGUUUGGCGGAUGCUGCCCCCUGGUGGCCCUAGAGAGCCACGGCCCAGGCCCCCAUGCUCUUGACCUCUCAGCCCCCACCAUUUGUGGUCAGAAGAGAGAACUGAGGGGGCUCUGGGUCCAGAUAGGAAUCACAGAGGAGCAAGGUGCAGCAGGCUGGGUGGGCUGCACAGGCUGAGGGCCUGGGCCUCACGAUCGUCAGACAACACUCAGGUCACCCAGCAAGCAUCCUAAUUCUUCUCCAGGCCACAACUUCCUCCUCUGCAGCCUGGAGAGAAGACUGUAGGACGAGGGCGUCCAACUACUCUCUUCUCCAGCCAAUCCUGGCAGCUCCAGCCCUGCAGCACAGAGCAGGAAGGUCCUGGGGAAAGAGACUCCCCCCACCCGCUGUGUGGGCCUAGCCUUGGGACCUUAGCAGUCGCUGAGCUUCUCUGAGCCUAGUUUGCUCAUCUGGAAAAUGGAGAUUACACCGUUUACCUCGUGGAGUUGUGAGGACUGAAAGAGGGCACAGAUGCAAAGUGCCAAGACAUAGUUUCUCCAUGCAGCUCUCUCUCGUCCUCCUGGGUCGAGUCUAGCUCCCCAAGCCCCUUGUUCCUCACCUGGGGAAACGGAAGUGGAGGGAUGAGCUGCUCAAAGGAUAACCCAUCUUUCAAUGUUCGAAGCUGCCUCAAGAGGAGGGUGGGGAAACAGGUCAACUGCGGCUGAUGGGAGCUCUUGGUAGUGACAGAGAUGGAACCUGGAUGUGGAGGCCCUUCUGAGCCGCCCCACGGGCCUCGGCCUAGGCGGCUGCCGGCCUUGUGGCCAACCCUGGCCGCUCUGGCCCUGCUGAGCAGCGUCGCCGAGGCCUCCCUGGGCCCCGCGCCCCGCAGCCCCGCCACCCGCGAAGGCCCCGCGCCCGUCCCGGCGCCCCCCGCCGGCCACCUGCCCGGUAGGUGAGAGGGCGAGGGGCGGGGGCGGGCGGGGGCUGGCCCGGGACCCCGCCCGUGACUCCGUCUCAUUCCAGGGGGCCGCGCGGCCCGCGUAUGCGGCGGAAGAGCCCGGCGGCCGUCGCCGCAGCCUGCCCGGCCCGCGCCCCCGCC